rnacentral:rRNA from 1 species
UACGUAGGGAGCAAGCGUUGUUCGGAUUUACUGGGCGUAAAGGGCGCGUAGGCGGCAAUUCAAGUCAUCUGUGAAAUCUCCGGGCUUAACCCGGAACGGUCAGAUGAUACUGCUUUGCUAGAGUGCGGAAGGGGCAAUCGGAAUUCUUGGUGUAGCGGUGAAAUGCGUAGAUAUCAAGAGGAACACCUGAGGUGAAGACGGGUUGCUGGGCCGACACUGACGCUGAUAGCGCGAAAGCCAGGGGAGCAAACGGG